rnacentral:rRNA from 1 species
GAAUGCACCCAAUCUCGUCUGAUAUUAGAAGCUAAAC